rnacentral:rRNA from 1 species
CACGUAGUUAGCCGGGGCUUCUUCGUCAGGUACCUUCUUUUUUAUUCCCUGCUGAUAGAGCUUUACAUACCGAAAUACUUCUUCGCUCACGCGGCGUCGCUGCAUCAGGGUUUCCCCCAUUGUGCAAGAUUCCCCACUGCUGCCUCCCGUAGGAGUCUGGGCCGUGUCUCAGUCCCAAUGUGGCCGGUCGCCCUCUCAGGCCGGCUACUGAUCGUCGCCUUGGUGAGCCUUUACCCCACCAACUAGCUAAUCAGACGCAGAGCCAUCUUACACCGAUUUACUCUUUUCACUCUGUUUCAUGCGAAACUGGGUGCUUAUGCGGUAUUAGCAGCCGUUUCCAGCCGUUGUCCCCCUGUGUAAGGUAGGUUCUCUACGUGUUACUCACCCGUCCGCCACUCAGUCAAAAGGAUGCAAGCAUCCUUCUGCUUCGUUCGACUUGCAUGUGUUAAGCACGCCGCCAGCGUUCAUCCUGAGCCAGGAUCAAACUCU